GGAAAAAAAACCUUUCAUAGUGAUUAGUGAGCAGGAUUUACCUCCCCCUGCACCCCCAUCCACUUUCCAGAUUGCUAGAGACAGAUUUCAUAUCUAAUCACAAACAAGAGUGUGGGUAGUGAAAGAAAAAAAGAAAGAAAAAAAAAUCCAAACUAAAGGCAGUGUGAUGUAAUGAAAAACACUUGGAAAUGGAGUCAGGAAUGCUGACCGGGUUCAAGUGCCUGCUCCACUACUUACUAGCUGCAUGACACUAGAAAAAUGAGAAGUGUACAUCUGGUCUACCAGUGCUCAGAGCAACAACGACUGGGACAAGGAAGGGAAAAAAGACCCUUGGGAAGAAACCUGAGAUCGUAAGUGCUGGGAACAUUGCUGCUGAGAGAAGAGAAUGGGCGCAUCUAGAGGGAGGAAAGGAAGAACAGGAGAGCACAGAACCUUCUUUGCUGGGGGCGUGCCAUUCUGGACAGCCUAUGCCAGUGUCUCCCAAGUCUCACAACUGAUUUCAGAGUUCUUCAGAGAGACCUUGAGAGUGUCCUUGUGUCGCUUCUUCUGCCCUCCAUAUUGCAGGAGUGCCAUCUCCCUAAUCCUCACAAUAUGGAAGAGAUAACUGUACAACAUAAACUCCUGGAAGACCCAACACAACGGAAAACUUUUGUUUAUGAACCCAGAGGUGUAUUAUAAGCCUUUUGUGCAAGAACUGGCCUUGCUGAAUUACAAGAGGGUAAGCACCAGCUUGUCUCCAGGACAGUGAUGUAUAUAAGAUAUGCCAAUUCUUGAAGGCUACUGAUUAAGUUCCUAAGGUGCUACCAUCUACAUUUGCACACAGAAUACUACUGAAAUUAUCAAUCUCUGAAGAAUUAAAAUUAUUAUUAUUAUUAUUAUUCCCAGCAAACAUAUCACUUUCUGUGGCCUCCUUUGAACAAGAAUGUCUGUUUUCCAGCCAACCAAAUGUCCAGGUAGUGAGAAUGGGGAUUUCCUCAGCUCUGAGCCACUGUUGGUUACUGUUGUCAACAGGAGUUAGGAAAGGUCACUGUUUCGGAGGCAAAGACAAGCCAGGAGGCAUGAGAGAGUUGGCAGGUGGAAGGAUGUGUAGGACCGGACAGAGAAUGAGUUGCGGUGGGGGGAGAGGAGCUACUUGAGGUUUAUCACCCCUCUCCCUGCUGUGAGAGUUCCUCCCUGUGGGGCCAUGGGCAAGUCACCUGACCUUUGUCUGAGCUUCAGUUUCCUCACCAAUGGCCUCCAAGUAACUCUCUAAGAUUCCUAAGUUGCUUAACAGUUUCUGAUUUGCAGUUGUACAGGGAGUUUCUCUGUUCUGAUGAUAUCAUAGGUUCAGUCAAAAAAAAAUUAAAUGAUGGGAAUAAUGCAAUAACUACUCCCAAAGCAGUUCUGAGAAAAGUGCUUUGUGAACUUUAAUGGUUUUGAUAAAUGCGAGCCAUUAUUAAUAUUUCUAUGAGUCAUUAAUCCAAUUUUAACAUCACCUGUUUUAUAAAUGACAGACCUCAGUAUCCCAGUGUCAACUGGAACUGAGGCGAGGUAAGAAGCAGGGUUAGGACGAAGGAGAUUGCCUUCCUAGGAAGCUAGAUGAGGAGGAGAAAGGAGGAAAAAGAAAGAGGGUAAGGAGAAAUCCACAGGAGCUGCUUGACAGAGUAUCCCUACAACUCACAGUGCCUUUCUGAAAAAUACAGAGUUCUGACACAUGAAAUGUAUGCCAGGGGCUGCUUAUAUUAGAAACCAAGAGUCAGCACCUAACAAAACCAUGAUCCAAGGACAGUAUGCAUGUAAAUAAACCAAUUAUUUCAACCUUGCUUCUUCCAGUCCUCUCCUGUACAAGAACCGCUGCCUGCUGUAAUCUCCCCCAUGCCUCAUAAGAGCCAUCACGUGGCCUUUCUAAAUGUCUAUUCAUUGCUAAGAACACAGAGGUCAUUAACUUAGGUUCAUAGGAUUUGAAGCUGAAACUGACCCUAGAUGACAUCUGGACCAACACACCCCUUGCCAUUUUGCAGACAGGAAACUAAGGUCUCAUGAUUUGUACAAGGUCACAUAGCUAUUAAAUGCAGAGCAGGUAUAUGGGCCUCACAUCUCUGACUCAUUAAGUUACACAUCACUGGGUAAAUACACUAAGUCAAAGACAACCCAAAAAACAGAUAAUCAACCAAAGUUAAGGUUAAUGGUAAUAUUUUCUUUUAUUGUUUUUCUCUCUUGAAGGAAGGAAAGAAAUGAGCAUUUAUUCAGUGCCUACUAUAUACCUGUCACAGUGCUAACAACUUUACAAACAUUAUCUCAUUCAGUCAUCACAACUCUGCAUAUCAUUAUUAUCUCCCAGUUUUACAGAUGGGAAAACUGAGGCAGACAGAAGUUAAGCGAUUU